ensembl:misc_RNA Metazoa_SRP Metazoan signal recognition particle RNA
GCCAGGCGUGGUGGCUCACGCCUGUAAUCCCACCACUUUGGGAGGCUGAGGUGGGUGGAUCACCUGAGGUCAGGAGUUUGAGACCAGCCUGGCCAACAUGGUGAAACCCCAUCUCUA